GUCUAUGGCCUUGCCACCCUGAACAAGCCCGAUCCCGUCUGAUCUCGAAGCUAAGCAGGGUCGGGCCUGGUUAGUUCUUGGAUGGGAGACCUCCUAGGAAGACCAGUGCUGUAGGCA
rnacentral:rRNA from 1 species